rnacentral:misc_RNA from 1 species
UUCUUUGGAUCCUAUAACUGCUCUGUAUAGUUACAAUUGAUUGGAGAUUAAUUACAAUAAACUAGCACAAUAGAAUCUCCCUAUUUAAUUGCUAGACUAAUCCCCUAACUUCUCUACUCCUUACUAAUAACAUGGAAAUCAGCAUGAGUUGCUACUUGCUGCCAUUCUCAUUCUUAACUUACAAAUUGUUAGUUUAAUUUCAUCCAUCAUCUCUCAACUUUGAGGUUGCUUCAACUGUCCUUCAAGUUCAAUUUGUAUCACGAAAAUACUUAAACAUUAAUUUAAUACCGCUCAAAGUUCCUCUAGCCAAAUUAUGUUGGAUACUCUAACCAGAAUUGAUCUGGGGAUACUUAGGCAGAUUGUAUACAAUCGAAAAAUAUUUCUCUCUGCCACUUGGAGAGAACAGUCUCUCUAAUUGUGAUUUAAACAUUACUGAUAACUUUUUCAUUUCAUCUAAUUUUUCAUUAUCUUUGGACAUAUCAAACUUUGAAUUAUUUUUUAUUGUGUUUAAUCCGCUAAGGCAUGCCCAGAUCAGCUUUUGGUUGGAGUACCCAAUAGAAACUGGUUAGAGGGACUUUGGAGGGUAUUAAAUUGAAGUUUGAACCCUUUUGGGAGACAAAUUGAAGUUAAGGGACAGUGAUGUAACAGCCCUCAAAGUUGAAGGACGGUGGGUGAAAUUAAGCCAACUUGUCCAGACUUCUCAUUGUACUCGUCUUUUUUCCUUUGCAAUUUCCUUUGCCCGCCAUUUUCCCAUAAAUAUUGUUAACCUGUUUUUGCAUUAGAAUACUCUUGAAUUUUGUUAUGCUUAUAUUUGAUUUCGGUGUUGUUCAAAUUGUCCAUGAUAGUUGUGAAUCCAUGCUCUUUGCUUCUUUAAAUAGGCCUCGCAUCUUAAAUCUGGAGGUACUGAAAUUUCAUGGUUGAUCAUAAUAUUGCUCUCUAGUAAAUGAUCAUCUGAUAGUAGUUGUAAAUGGUAUCUCAGAAGAGAAUUCCAGCUGAAAUAGUAUUUGUGCAUGACUCAGAUUGAAUAAGAGCAGUCAGAUUGAAUAAGAGCAGAAAAAUCAUCUAAUUUUUAUAUUUUUACCAUAUUUACUGCAAAUCAAUAAGCAGAAAGAAAUUGAUGAAUUCUUUAAGAGUACUUAAAGACUUUGUUAUGGGUUUAUCACUUUAUAAUGGAGAAAUUCCUGGUGAUAAUCCAAGAGUGUUACAGUCUGAGUCAUGGA